CCUACGGGUGGCAGCAGUGAGGAAUAUUGGUCAAUGGGCGCGAGCCUGAACCAGCCAAGUAGCGUGAAGGAUGACUGCCCUACGGGUUGUAAACUUCUUUUAUAAAGGAAUAAAGUGAGUCACGUGUGCCUUUUUGUAUGUACUUUAUGAAUAAGGCUCGGCUAACUCCGUGCCAUCCUCCGCGGUACUACGGAGGCUCCGAGCGUUAUCCGGCUUUAUUGGGUUUAAAGGGCGCGUAGAUGGUUUGUUAAGUCAGUUGUGACAGUUUUCGGUGCAACCGUACAAUUGAAAUUGAUACGGGCAGCAGUGAGUGCAGUUGAGGUAGGUGGAAUCCGUGGUGUAGCGGUG
rnacentral:rRNA from 1 species